rnacentral:lncRNA from 1 species
AUGAUCAAAUGCUUGUCAGCUGAAGUACAAGCUAAAUUGCGUUCUGGUUUGGCUGUAUGCUCCUUAGGCCAAUGUGUUGAGGAGCUUGCCCUCAACAGUAUUGAUGCUGAAGCAAAAUGUGUGGCUGUCAGGGUGAACAUGGAAACCUUCCAAGUUCAAGUGAUAGACAAUGGAUUUGGGAUGGGGAGUGAUGAUGUAGACAAGGUGGGAAAUCGUUAUUUCACCAGUAAAUGCAACUCUGUACAAGACUUGGAGAACCCAAGGUUUUAUGGUUUCCGGGGGGAGGCGUUGGCCAGUAUAGCAGAUAUGGCCAGUGCUGUGGAAAUUUCAUCCAAGAAAAACAAGUCGAUGAAAACAUUUGUGAAACUGUUUCAGAAUGGGAAAGCCCUGAAAGCUUGUGAAGCUGCCUUCACUCGACCAAGUACCGGGACAACAGUCACUGUAUAUAAUCUGUUUUAUCAAUUACCUGUUAGGAGGAAAUGCAUGGAUCCUAGACUGGAGUUUGAGAAGGUUAGGCAGAGGAUAGAAGCUCUGUCACUCAUGCACCCUUCCAUUUCUUUCUCUUUGAGAAAUGAUGUUUCUGGUUCCAUGGUUCUUCAACUCCCUAAAACGAAAGACAUAUGUUCCCGAUUUUGUCAAAUUUAUGGACUGGGUAAGUCCCAAAAGUUAAGAGAAAUAAAUUUUAAAUAUAAGGAGUUUGAGCUUACUGGCUUUAUCAGCUCUGAAGCACAUUAUAAUAAGAAUAUGCAGUUUUUGUUUGUGAACAAGAGGUUAGUUUUAAGGACAAAGUUGCAUAAACUCAUUGACUUUUUAUUAAGGAAAGAAAGUAUUAUAUGCAAACCAAAGAGUGGUUCUGCCAGUAGGCAAAUGAAUUCAAGUCCUCGGCCUAGGUCUAACCCGGAACUCCAUGGGAUCUACGUAAUCAAUGUGCAGUGCCAGUUCUGUGAGUAUGACGUGUGCCUGGAGCCAGCAAAAACCCUGAUUGAGUUUCAGAACUGGGAUACUCUUUUGGUUUGCAUUCAGGAAGGAGUAAAAAUGUUUUUAAAGAAAGAAAAAUUAUUUGUGGAAUUAUCAAGUGAAGACAUUAAGGAAUUUAGUGAAGAUAAUGAUUUUAGUUUAUUCAGUGCCAGUCUUCAGAAGCAAGUGUCCUCUGAUGAGAAGUGUGGCCGGGUCAGUUUCCAAGAAGCAUGUAAUAAUAUUUUGGAUUCCUAUGAGAUGUUCAAUUUGCAGUCAAAAGCUGUGAAAAGAAAAGCUCCUGUAGAAAACAUAAGCACACAUAAUUCUAGGGAUUCGGAAACUAUCAGAAAAAAGACAAAUGAUUCAUUUUUGUACACUUACAAAUCCGAUGGGCCAGCCCAUUAUAAAAUGGCAGAGUCAUCUUUGCAAAAUGAAGACAGUGCUUGCUCACACUCAAGGAACUUAGAACAAGACACAGCUGGAGCAUCAGAAUCAGGAGAAAAUAAGAAACAUAAAAAAUCUUGCUUGGAACAUAACUCUUCAGAAAAUCCAUGUGGAACCAGUUCAGAAAUGUGUGGAAGCCCUUUUCAGACAUUAUAUCACUUUGAGGGGAGUGGAGAAGAUCUAGAAAUACAAAAAGUAAGUACUGCUGUUAAUAGCAUGGCUGCCAACAUCCUGGAAAAUAACAGAAUUCAGAAUCAACCAGAGAGAUAUAAAGAUGCUACUGAAAUGAAAUGCCAACCUCUGUCUUUUGAGACAGCAUUAUCAGGAGAACCUAGUGCUCAGAGAGAGGAAGAGAAAAGAAAAAAACCUAGUGCUUGUGGAAGAAUAAAUGUUUUUCAUUAUGGACAAGUUAAAUUAUGUUCUACUGGCUUCAUAACUCAUGUGGUACAGAGUGAGCAAACUAAAUCAACUGAAACAGAACAUUUAUUUAAAAGUUAUGCUCAACCUGGUCCUGUGAGUGCCAAAGAAACAUUUAGAAAUAGAACACACCAUUCAGUUAAGAUUCUAAACAGCAAAGAUUUAACCAGCACUUUAAGUAAAGAAUUUGCUCAACUGCCCAACAAAAGUCUGUGCAGCACAGAUCGAAGUUAUGAGCUAGAGAACAAACAUACAGCAGCUUAUAAAAAUUUUGCUAUUUUUCAGGAAAGUAGUAAAAAAUCACACACAGGUGGCUUAUUACUCGACACAUCCUCUUUCUCUUGGGGUAGACAUGUUUCAGAUGGUAGUAAGAAAACCGACAAGUUGAUUGGUCCUGCCAAACCCAUACCUCAUAAGAAGCUAAGCUUAAGUUCACAACUAGGAUCUUUAGAGAAGUUUAAGAGGCAAUAUGGGAAGGUUAAAAAUCCUCUCAAUACUGAAGUGGAGGAAAAUAAUACUUUAGAAAUCACUACCAAUCUCAGUCCUCAAGUUGAAGCUGACAUUCCAUGGAAAGACAAAAACCACUUAGACAACUCUGACAUCUGUGAAAUCACUACUAUGAAAUAUAAUGAUUCCAAUAGUAGUUGUCAACCAGUAAAUCACAUGUUUUCUUCAGAAAAGUUUCCAUUCUCCAAGGAAGAUCAUUGUUUGGAACAACAGAUGCUUUGCUUAACAGAAAGUACUGUAACUCUACAGGAGUUACCUCAUUUUAACAGUAAAUUUUUGGAUGUUGAGAAGUCACCUGAAUCACUAGCCUCUAAAUUAUCCAGAUUGAAGGAUUCCGAAAGAGAGACUCCAAGGAUGAGUCAUUUUAAUGAAUUGCCACAAUUAGAUUCCAGUAGGAAAGAUGGUGACUUGUCCAGUGGGUUAACCCUAGAUUCUUGUAAGUUAUUUAAAAAUGAGCAUAAAAAACCAGAAAGUGACAACAUCCCAAUGUCAGACUCUGUCACACAAAGUAAUCUCUUCAGUAAAGACAGUGAAACAUAUUCUAACAACAAUACCACUGAGAAGAUACCAGGAAAUCCUUUGGUUCUGCCCUAUGACCAUGCUACAGUUAUCAGUAAGGAUUCAGAUGUUCUUAUAGCUUCAAAACAACAGAUUGGAAGUCCUUUCUCUAUGAGCAGAAUGUUAAUGAGUCGCAUGGAAGAUUCCACAGCUGACCAAAAUGGAACUUGUUUUCAGAGUGAGGAAUCCAUAGCCAUAGCAAGAACUUGUUCUGAAAAUGAAGGGUCCAACAUAUGUUCUUUGGAUUGGCAGCAGCAUUUUGAUGUAACUCUGGGAAGAAUGGUUUACAUCAACAAACUAACAGGACUUAGCACGUUCACUGCUCCUACUGAGGAUGUUCGGGCCGCUUGUACUAAAGACCUGACAACUAUGGCUGUGGAUGUGCUACUGGAGAACGGAUCUCAGUACAGGUGUCAUCCCUUUAGAAGCGACCUUGUUCUUCCUUUCCUUCCUAGAGCUCGGGAAGAGAGGACUGUGAUGAGACAGAAUAACAGAGCUACUGGGGACGAUGCCUUUGGUCCUGAAUCGCUUCAGUCUUUGUUCUCAGAAUGGGACAAUCCAAUAUUUGCCCGUUAUCCAGAGGUUGCUGUUGACGUAAGCAGCGGCCAAGCUGAGAGCCUAGCAGUUAAAAUUCACAACAUCUUGUAUCCUUAUCGUUUCACCAAAGAAAUGAUUCACUCAAUGCAGGUUCUCCAGCAAGUGGAUAACAAGUUUAUUGCCUGUUUAAUGAGCACUAAGACUGAAGAGAAUGGUGAGGCAGAUUCCUAUGAGAAACAACAGCCACAAGGCUUUGGUCGAAAAAAAUUACUGUCUUCCAUCGUAAGUCCUCCACUAGAGAUAACAGUGACAGAGGAACAAAGGAGACUCUUACGGUGUUACCACAAAAAUCUGGAAGAUCUGGGCCUUGAAAUUGUAUUUCCAGACACCAGUGAUUCACUGGUCCUCAUAGGAAAAGUACCACUCUGUUUUGUAGAAAGAGAAGCCAAUGAACUUCGAAGAGGAAGAUCUACUGUGACCAAGGGCAUUGUGGAGGAGUUUAUUCGAGAACAAGUGGAGCUACUCCAGACCACAGGAGGCAUCCAAGGGACUUUACCACUGACCGUCCAGAAGGUGUUGGCAUCCCAAGCCUGCCAUGGGGCCAUUAAGUUUAAUGAUGGCCUGAGCUUCGAGGAGAGCUGUCGCCUUAUUGAAGCGCUAUCCUGGUGCCAGCUGCCGUUCCAGUGUGCUCAUGGCAGGCCCUCCAUGCUGCCAUUAGCUAACAUCGACCACUUGGAGCAGGAAAAACAGACUAAACCCAAUCUUGCUAAACUUCGCAGAAUGGCUCAGGCCUGGCAUCUCUUUGGAAAAGGAGAAGGAUGUGAUGUAGGGCAAGGCCUGCAGGCAUCCAUGCCUCCUUGUGAGCUGCCAAGAGAGCAGAAUUACUCUCUGUAAGGACCCAAAGGGAUGCUGACUGUAGGCCUUUGAGCAGAGAGCAUGAGCAACAGACACCAAUCGGGUCUUGACUGAAUGGGCCUGGGGCCCUGAUCAGCAUCUCCAUCUUCCCUGAGCAGGUGAUCCCUCCAGUUGAGGAGCCAGAUGGAUUUCAAGCCUAAAGACAGGUCAUUCAUUGGCAUCCAUGGACACAGGAGGUUGCCUUCUAAUGUCUACAUUUUGUAAUUUAUAAAGGGGAUAAAAUUUAAUGACUAAUUGUC